rnacentral:misc_RNA from 1 species
AGUGUGACACUUCCUGCCGACAUAGACAGAUCUCGGCUACACUGCUACAGCCAUGGGCAUCAACUGGUUGUAGAAGCCCCUUUCCUAGCUAAAAGUCAAAACGAAGGGGAGGAGAUUGCGAUAGAGGAAACUGAUGACGAAACAAGAGACGAUACAUCUUCGUGUUUCAGACAAGACAUGGACCUGUCGACCUUUACACCGGAUCAUAUAAGCGUGCAGCGCUGUGGGCCUGACGUCAUAGUCAGGGCUGACCAUUGCCUGGAUGAGGACGGCAUUAAAGUAUCCCGGUCUUUCCACCGGGAAUUCAAAAUCCCACCGAACGUUUCCUCCGAGAAAUUACGCUGUCGUCGAAAUAAUAAAGGAAUGUUGAUGUUUUGGGCACCCUUUCAAAGCUGAGAGGAAAUAGAGGGACCGGAUGUAGACUCGGUGCUGCUUACAACAAUAAGUUUUAUAGGCAAAAGUUUUCGUAUAAGGUUUUUCAUAAAUAUUGAUCACUUUUUGGUUCAGUAUCUUAGCUUCAUUAUCAUUGCUUGAGUUUCAUCAGUUUACCACUGUAAUAAUAUUGACUAAAUCUGGUGCUGCAUAAUUCCAAUUCAUUAUAUUAUGAAUCAUUUCAAUUAUAAUGAUGUUCACAGGCGUCCAUGUAUUUAGCUUAUACUGUUUCGAUACAAGAAAAAAGGAGUCAUAAAUGAAUAAAGUUGACUUUUUUUAUUUAAAAAAAUACAUACAAAAACGUAAUCAACAUUAUGUAAAAGUAUAUCAUUUAAUCAAAAUAAAUACACACGUACAGUUUAUUAUUUU